rnacentral:lncRNA from 10 species
AAAAAAAGAAGAAGAAAAAAAUCACCUUCCAAAAAGGAAAGCACCAGGUUCGGAUGGUUUCACUGGUUAAUCCUACUAAACAUUUAAGGAAUAAAUAAUGCCAGUUUUUUACAAUUUCUUCCAGAAAGUAGAAGUAGACAGAGGGAACACAUUCUAACUUAUUCUACAAGCCCAAUAUUAUCCUACUGCCAAAACCGCAUAAAGACAUUACCAGAAAAGAUAACUACAGAUCAAUAUCACUCAUUAAAGUAGAUACAAAAUCCUCAAGAAAAUAUUAGCAAAUAUAAUCCAACAAUACAGAAAAAAUUACAUACCAUAACCAAGAGAGGCAUAUUACACAUAUGCAAGGCUGGCUUAUCAUUCAAAAAUUGGUUAAUGUAAGUCAUCAUAUCAACAGGCUAAAGAAAAAAUUAUAUGAUCAUACCAAUAAUGCAGAAAAAGUAUUUGACAAAACCCAAGACUGAUUCAUAUGAAAAACUCUUAGCAAACUAGGAAUAAAAGGGAAACUUCCUCAACUUGCUAAAGAAUAUCUACCAAAAAAUAGCUAAUAUCAUAUUUCAUGGUUAGAAAGUAAAAUCAGAAAUGGACAAGAUGUCCCUUCUAACCACUCCUGUGCAACAUUGUAAUGGAAGUCUAAGCUAGCAUAACAGGACAAGAAAAGGAAAUAAAAGGUAUAAAGUUAGAAUGGAAGAAAUAUGAGGCCUGGUACAGUGGCUCACACAAUGUAAUCCCAGCACUUUGGGAGGCCAAGGCAGGGGGAUCACUUGAGCUCAGGAGUUCAAAACCAGCCUGGGCAACAUAGUGAGACCUCACCUCUGUAAAAAAUAAAAUAAAAUAAUGGAAGAAAUAAAACUGUAUUUUUAACAGACAGCCUGAUUUAUGUAGAAAAAUCUCAAGACUUGGCCAAAAACAAAAACAAAAACAAAAACAAAAAAAUCCCUAGAAUGAAUAAGUGAUUAAAGCAAGUUGCAGGAUACAAAGUUAAUAAGCAAAAAUCAAUUAUUUGACAGGAAUGAACAAUUGAGCAACUGGAAUUUGAAAUUAAAAAUAUAAUACCAUUGGCCAGGUGUGGUGGCUCACAUCUGUAAUCCCAGCACUUUGGGAGGCCGAAGCUGGUGGAUCAUUUGAGGUCAGGUGUUUGAGACCAGCCUGGCCAACUUGGUGACCCGUCUCUACUAAAAAUACAAAAAUUAGCCAGGCGUGGUGGCGCAUGCCCGUAAUCCCAGCUACUCGGGAGGCUGAGGUAGGAGAAUUGCUUGAACCCAGGAGGCAGAGGUUGCAAUGAGCUGAGAUUGUACCACUGCACUCCAGCCUGGGCAACACAGCGAGACUCUGUCUCAAAAAAAAAAAAAAAAUGUCAAUUUUUCCCAACUUGAUCUCUAGAUUCAAUGCAAUCCCAGUCAAAAUCCCGGAAAGCCAUUUUGCAGAUAUCAACAGAUUCUCAAAUUUGUAUGGAAAGAAAAAACCCAGAUAGCUAACACUAUACUGAAGAAAGGCAACAAAAAUGAGGGACUAACACUACCUGACUUCCAGACUUACUACUAAAAUACAAUAAUCAAGAUAGUGUGGUACUGGGGAAAGAAGAGGGAGAUCAAUGAAACUGAAUAGGGCAGGGUGUGGUGGCUCACACCUAUAAUCCCAACACUUUGGGAGGCUGAGACGGGGGAGAUCACUCGAGCUCAGAAGUUCCAGACCAGCCUGGGCUACACGGCGAAACUCUAUCUCUACAAAAAUACAAAAAUUGGCUGGGAGCGGUGGCGCGAGCCUGUAGCACAAGCUACUCGGAAAGCUGAGAUGGUAGGAUUGCCAGGGCCCAGGAGGCAGAGGCUGCAGUGAGCCAAGAUUGUGUCACUGUACUCCAGCCUGUAUUAAAAGAAAAAAAGAAAAAGAAAAGAAACUGAAUAGAAAGCCCAGAAAUGGACCCACACAAAUAUAUUCAACUGAUCUUUGACAAAGAAGCAAAGGCAAUUCAAUGGAGAAAGGACAGUCUUUUCAACAAAUGAUGCUGGAACAAUUAGGUGUUCAUAUGCAAAAAAAAAAAAAAUACAUAUAGAAUAUAGACACAAACCUUACACUUUUCACAAAAAUUAAAGUAAACUGCAUCAUAGACCUAAAUGUCAAUGGUAAAACUAUAAACCUUCUAGAUGAUAACACAGGAGAAAAUCUAGGUAGCCUUGGGUUUGGUGAUGAGCUUUAGGACACAAUGUUAAGAGCAUGAUCCAUGAAAGAAAAAUGUAGUAAGUUCGACUUUUUAAAAUUAAGAACUUCUGCUCUACAAAAGACAUUGUUAAGAGAAUGAAAAGACAAGCCACAGACUGUGAGAAAAUAUCUGUGAGACAUCUAUCUGAUAAAGGCUUGUAUCCAGAAUGUACAAAGGACUCUUAAAACACAACAAUUUAAAAAAUGAGCCCAGUUAAAAAAUAGGCAAACAAUCUGAACAAACAUCUCAUCAAAGAAGACAUACAAUUCCCAGUACUUUGGGAGGCCGAGACACGCAGAUCAUUUGAGCCCAGGAGUUCAAGACCAGCCUGGGCAACACAGCAAAACCCUAUCUCUACAAAAAAUACAAAAAUUAGCCAGGCAUGGUGAUGUGCACCUGUAGUCCUAGCUACUUGGGAGGCUGAAGCCUGGGAGAAUCACCUGAGCCUGGGAAGUGAGCUGUAAUCACACCACUGCACUCCAGCCUGGACAACCAAUGAACACACAAAAAAAGAAGACAUACGAAUGGCAAGUAAGAAUAUGAAAAGAUGUCCAACAUUAUAUCAUUAGGGAACUGCUAAUUAAAACAACAAAUGAGAUACCACUAUAUACUUAUUAAAAUGGCUAAAAUCUGGGCUGGGUAUGGUGGUUCAUGCCUGUAAUCCCAGUACUUUGGGAAGCUGAGGUGGGCAGAUCAUCUGAGGUCAGGAGUUCAAGACCAGCCUGGCCAACAUGGUGAGACCCCAUCUCUACUAAAAAUACAAAAAUUAGCCAGGCGUGGUGGCGGGCACCUGUAAUCCUAGUUACCUGGGAGGCUAAGGCAGGAGAAUCGCUUAAACCUGGGAGGUGGAGGUUGCAGUAAGCCAAGGUCACACCACUGCACUCCGGCCUGGGCAACAGAGCAAGACUGUCUCAAAAAAAAAAUCUCAAAAAAAAAAAAAAAAGGAAUUGCCAAAAAGCACUGUACUCUAGUAGAUAAAGUUGUUUCUUAUCGGAGUACAGGUUAAUAAUUAAUUCAAUAAACAGAGGAUGGUGGGUACAGGUUUCUCACUGUUGGAGUGGGAGUUUACAGAUGAGCAAGAGAAGGAAACUAGAAUGAUCUAUGUGGUGAUGGACUAAAGUUGGAGACAUCAGUAAGAACAAAUGUUUAAUGUAAUAUAGGUACAGAUGGUUACACAUAGAAAUAUUUGUAGAUAUGUGUAUAUGCAGAGGUUAGUAUGCAUACAUGUAUUUCUUUGCUCUGUUGGCUGAGAGGGUCUAGAAUCAAUGAUACCUCAGCAGCAAAAAGUACACUUACUGUCCAGGUCUUGGUUUCUAAGAUCACUUUCCAAUAAAAGGAACCAAGGUUUCUUGGAGUAUUGGUUGGUUCUAGGACUAGAACCAGGAAAUAUACAAGAGAGGAAAUAUACAAGAUGAGUCUGGAGCAUCUUAUAGUGCCAAAAUGUAAAAAGUGCUUAAAAUCAAACAAAAUUCUUGAUAUGAAUUUGCCAAAAAUUAAAUAAAACAAAAAAUAAAAUAAUAAAACAAAACAAAAUCUUACAAUGAUUGGGGUAUGUCAAUGUGACACAAGAGCCAAGUGAAUGAGCUCCCCGUGGCCAAAGCUGGAAAAAUUUGAGAAAAAAUAAAGUAGUAUUGCAUUAUAACACAAAGUAUAAAAUAAAUAUCCUUGAGUCCUUAUUGAUAUCAAUGAUUGAAUAAAGUCAUAAAUGGGAGAAAAGAGAUAAAUCUCCCAUGCAGAAGAAUUCUUAAAAAAAUUAUGUAGAUACUCCACCUCCAAGGAGGAAGAACAUAAGUAACCCCCAACCUUAAGUGUGGGCUGCACAGAGUGACUUCCUUUCAAAGAGUACAGUAUGAAAAUAGGAGGAAGAGUAACUUUUCAGUAGAGAAACCAGACAAACACUACUUCAACUAGAUGGUCAAGGUCAACAUCAACAGUCAUAAGUCAUGUGAUUUGAUGUGAUGAAAAUGGCAGUUUACCUCUGCGAUGUUCCUCCAAAAACCCAUAACCCCAAGUCCAAUUAUGAGGAAAACAGCAGACAAAUCCUAACUUAGUGACAUCCUGCAAUAUACCUGACCAAUACCCUCACCAAACUGUCAAGGACAUCAAAAAUAAGGUCUAAGAAAUUGUCACAGCAAAAAGGAGCCUAAGAACAUAUAACAAUUAAAUGCAAUGUGGUAUUCUGACGGGAUCCUGGAGCAGGAAAAGGACAUUAGGUAAAAACUAAGGAAAUAUGAAUAAAUUACACACUUUCAUUAUAGUAAAAUGUCAAUAUGGGUUCAUUAAUUAUAUCAAGGUACCAUACGAAUACAAGAUGUUAAUAACAGGGGAAAUGGUAUGCAGGGCGUGAGUGAUAUGAGAACUCUCAUACUAUUUUUGCAAUGUUUCUGUAAAUCUAAAACUGUCCUUAAAAAAAGUCUAUUAAUGUCUUUAAAAGCCACUGUUGGCCAGGCAUGGUAGUUCAUCCCUGUAAUGCCAGCACAUUGAGAGGCCCGGGCACAAGGAUCUCUUGAGGCCAGAAGUUGGAGACGAGCCUGGGCAACACAAGGCCCCAUCUCUACAAAAAUGUAAAAAUUCGCCAGGCAUGGUGGCAUGCAACCGAGGUCCUAGCUACUCAGGAGGCUGAGGCAGGGGGAUCACUUGAGCCCUGGAGUUUGAGGUUACAGUGAGCUAUGAUUGUGCCAUGCUCUCCAGCCUGGGCAACAGAGGGAGACCCUGUCUCCUAUGUAGACCCUUUAUAUAGAUAUAUAAAGCCUAGAAGAACAGUGGCUAUAUAUAUACGGCCACUGUCAGUUGGCCGUAUAUAUAGCCACUGUCACUGUUAUUCCUCUGUCAGUUGCAGAGGAAGUGAAUCCUAAUUAAUAUGCCUCUCACUCCCAAAAUUACUACGGACAAAACAUUCAAAGUCUUAUGUACAAUUAUGGAGGGCCCAUGCUGGGCUGAAUUAUGUCCUCCUAAAAUUCUUAUGUCCUCCCAGAAUUCCCAGUAUCUCUGAAUGUGACUGUAUUUAGAGAUAGGUUCUUUAAAGAGGUAAUUAAGUUAAAAAUGGGGUUAUUAGGAUGGGCUCUGAUCCAAUAUGAUUGGUAUCCUUAUAAGAAGAGGAAAUUAGGACACAGAUAUAGGCACAAAGGAAAGACCAUGUGAAGACACAGGGAGAAGAUGGCCAGAGAAGAGAGGCCUCAGAAGAAACCAAUCCUGCUGAUGUCUUCAUCUCAGACUUCUAGCCUUCCAAAAGUGUGAAAAAUAAACAUCUG